ensembl:lncRNA
CGAGACCCUGGGUCUCGACCCCGUCCUGUGCAACUGGGUCCUGGACUUUGACAUGCCGCCCCCAGGUGGUGAGGGUAGGAAACAACAUCUCCACCCUGCUGAUCCUCAAUACUCAGCCCUCUCCUGUACUCCCUGUUCACCCAUGACUGCGUGGCCAUGCACACCUCCAACUCAAUCAUCAAGUUUGUAGACGACACUACAGUGGUAGGCUUGGUUACCAACAACGAUGAGACGGCCUACAGGGAGGAGGUGAAGGCCCUCGGAGUGUGGUGUCAGGAAAAUAACCUCACACUCAAUGACAACAAAACAAAGGAGAUGAUCGUGGACUUCAGGAAACAGCAGAGGGAGCACCCCCCUGGCCAUAUCGACGGGACAGUAGUGGAGAAGGUGGAAAGUUUUAAGUUCCUCGGCGUACACAUCACGGACAAACUGAAAUGGUUCACCCACACAGACAGCGUGGUGAAGAAGGCACAACAGUGCCUCGUCAACCUCAGGAGGCUGAAGAAAUUUGGCUUGUCACCAAUUUGAUGAGAUGUGUGCAAUAGUAUAUCCAACCCAUACUGCCUUGUAUCUACAGGCGUUGUACUGUCUUUACACUUAGUACCAGUGGUCUUGGUUUGCUGAUCCCUACUAGGAGAGGGAGGUGCGAAACCAGUGCAGGCAACCAUUCCUUCUGCCUGAGUGUUAAAUCUGUGACACUCUGGCCUUGCAGCUUAUGUCUGAACUGGGCUGCAGUCCUCCUGAUUUGCUGAAUAUCCCUCUGGUGUUGGAGAAGCAGCUUCCUGUGCCUCCUACAUCGGUAAACAUUAUGCCAGUGGUUGAUCUCAGCUUAAUCACAAAUGGCAAAUAUGUCUGAUCUCUAAUUAUUAUCUGCUCUUGUUCAAAUUAUGCAUAUUAUGCAAACAUUUAUUUAUGGCUCUGCAUGACAUAAAAAGUAAAAGACGAGUACACCCUUGGAACUAUCUCUGUGUGUACACCAAUUAAAUUAUAUUAAUGUAUGGGGUGUGGAACUGGUGGCAGUGAAGUCAGACGCAGGAGAGCAGAACUAGGUAAUAGCCGGAGCAGUUUAAUUACAAAACCAACGGCAAAUAAAGAUAUAGCUAAUAUGGGUACAAAAUCCAACGCUCACCAGUAACACAGUGCACUUACAAACAAACAAUUCCAAAAAAGGACAUGGGGGGGAUCAGAAGGUUAAAUACACAACAAUUAAUGAGGGAAAUGGAAGCCAGAUGUUUAAGAAAACUGGCGGCAGUAAAUCAAAUGAAACUAUUUUUGUUUUUAACAGUGACGCACUCAAUCACCAUGAUGAAGGCUUUACCAGAUAUGUUCCCAUCACCUGUGGCUCCACCAAAGAAGUUAGGACAUUGUCACAACUCCCACCGAAGGUGGCAACCCUGCCUGUUCGGGUGGCGCUCGGCGGUCGUCGUCGCUGGUCUACUAGCUGCCACCGAUCCCAUUUUCCUUUUCUGUUUGUUUGGUCUUAUUGGUUGCAGUUGUCUCUUUUAUUUUGUUUUUUGAUUCAGUCUAUUUAAGCCUGUUAGGCCUGCCUGUUUUUGUGCGGGCUUGUUUUUCUGUUUGUCAGGUUGUGCGUGGUGUGUUCCUGUCUGUUUGUGCCCUGUGUUGCGUUGGACCAUUUUGUGUCGAUUUUCACCUGUUGUUUUGGGCGUUCGCUUUGGAAACCUAAUAAAGUCGGUUUCCCCAGUAUCAUCUGCUCUCUGCAUUUGACUCCGUACCCACCACUCCAGGCCUGGUGACAGACAUGCAAGGGAGGCUAUGCUUCACAUUCUUGAAUCUGCAGAAGACCCCAACACCUUUCUUCAGGCGAGACCACUCUUCAGCCCUGUCGUGAUUGUCUGCGAAACAAACUGCGUACUGGCCAUUGAAACCAUGCCUGUGGUGACCUUCCCAAAAGAGGACAUCUAUGCCAGAGUGACGUAUCUCAUGGCAUGUUAUUACGCCUUUCACCUCACAUAUCCCAAGUGUAUGGCGACACUCCUCUCAAUGCAGCAGACAUAAGUCCUCUCGGACGCCAUUCACGACCGGGACAAGACUUCUUCAUAUAAAAAGACUAUGGCCAAGUGGAAAAAGUUCAUUACUGACUACGGUUGCAACAUUUCUUCAUUUCCGGUCCCGAUAACAGAACUGUGUGUAUUGGCCCACACGAGAACCGAUCCGAUAACCUUUAAUAAAUAGGCAGGGCAUUUGUUGUUUAUUAUAAGAAGGUUUAAAGCACUGUUAUGUUUGUUAUCUUCCCAUUGGUCUUACAUUUUUACCUUGACCACCAAUAGCCUUUGUUGUUGUUUUUGCACACUUUGUUCUGCCCAUAUCAGCCUCUUGAGUCCUCAAUAAAGAAGAGAAAAGAAAUUAGAUGA